UUUCCAUUUGAUUCCGUGAAAGGAAAAAAAAAGAAAAAAAAAAGAAGGCGUUAUCAAUUAUUAAUCUCGAGACACGGACGGGUCACGUAAUUCGUUAUUUCUUGCAAGAAAGUUGGGGGUAGGGGAAUUUUAUGAUUCCGUUUAUGACGUUUAUUCGAGACACAAUAUGCAUUUCGCGAAUUACGCGGUAUUUUUUUCUCUCUCUCUCUCUUUUUAAUGUUUAUUUAUAAAAGAAAAAUAUAUUUUUCCAUAAUUUUUAAUUGACAUGUAAAUUUAUACUUCGAGGUAAUCGAAAAGAACAUUUUCUCGGUCGUGAUACUGAUAACGAUAACGAAUGAAAUGAAUUUUUUUUUUCGUAUUGGAUUGGUGAUUUUUAUACAAGUUUUUAAAUAAUUUUUGAAAUUAUUAUAUAUUGUUUUAAUUGCUUGCUGAUUCUUCUACGAGCUCUUAAAAAAAUUCACUAUUUCAAAGUAUAUAUCAGUAUUGCUGUAUAAAAUAUUAAAUAUUGAAAUGGUUCUACAACAAAUACUUGUAAAGGAAAUUAAAUGGUUCAAAGUUGAAAAAUAAUCCAUUUGUUAAAUACUAUGUGAUUACAUCUUUCAUUGUACGAUUAAAGUAAUAAUAAUAAUAAUAGUAAUAAACUCUCUGUUCUUUAAAAAAUUUCAAGAGUAUUGGAUGCAACGACAAAAAUGUAGUAAAUAUUGAAAUUUACUUUUAAAUUUUUCCAUGAGCGGAACGUAACGUAGCAAUGAUAUAACAAAGUGAUUAUUUAUCGAUUCAAAAAUAAUUGUCCACUCGAUUAGAACAUGACGGACUGUUAUAUGAGAUUGUUUUACCAUGAAAUCACACAAAAUCUCGAAGAAUUUUAGAUUAUAUCUACGAGACAGCUUUAGAAUACAAGUAUUAGAACUAUUAUCUAAUUAUCUAACAAUUGCAAUAUUCGAAUAAUAUUAUUGAUACUUGUACACAUUAGAUUAUUAUUUCACCAAAAUUAAAAUAUUCUCUUGCGAAUCUUUUCCUUCUUAACCAUAAAAAUAUAAUAUUCUAUUCUAAAACAUAAAACUAUUCAAAAUCAUUAUUAUUCAAAAUCAAAAGAAAAAUCAACCUAACCAAACAUCAUGUAAACUCCUUCCACUUCGUUUUUUCGACGAAAUAGCUUCUACACUGUUUAUCGGCAUUUCUAGCAGCUUCGUAAACGUGGCAAUUGAAAGUUGGCCUUGACUAGUACAGACCGAUCAUUCAGCGUGACGUGUAAGUCACGAGGCCGCUCGUGAACGCGCUCAUGCAUAGUUUUGUGUGCUAGGUUAUGGUUUCGCGUUUCGUUUCACCGUUUCUCCCAAUAAAGAACCCGGAAUCGACCGAUUUCAACCGAUUUCAACCGAUUUCAACCUAACCGAAUGUAACCGCGUCACAAACAAACGAAAUUUCAUCGUGGCGCCAACCGUGAGAUCAAAGUGGACGAUGCCUUUCCGUAAUGCCGUCGUAAAUUUUCCUUCUCGUGGGUGCUCGCGUGACUCUUGCUCUUAUUACUGCGUAAUAUCCGUUACGAGACCAGCUACUCCCACGCGAUCGUUUCCGCAACGUUUUGGUUUUCCCCAUUCGUUAAUCAUCCUUGACUACCGCCUCAUCUACCAUUUUCGUUUUUGUAUUGUUGUAUGCAGUGCGCGCAACGUUAAAUUUCAUUUGAAAUUUUAAUUUUUUUUUUUUUAUGAGCAAGAAUAUUUAUAUUUGAACUUCAAUCUUUUGAUUUGAAAUUUUAAUUUUUAGGAUGUGGUUAAUUUAUAUUGUGAUGUAGUUACAGUUGAUAAAUAUUUCAUAGCGUUUCGAACUUGAAACUUUUAUUCAAAGACGUAGAUUCCUAUAUUUAGAUUCGAAAGGGGGAAAUUGGAUUUCGAAAUUUUUUCUUUCUUUUUUUUUCUUUCUUUUUUUGUAUUACUUUUGUAAUGAAGAGAAUUUUCAAAAGUUUCUUCGAGAAUUUUUUGAUUCCAAUUGUAUCGAAGGAGUUAAUUACAUUCUUCGAUGAUCGAUAAUCAUCAAAGUGCGUCAUAAGAUAUCUUAAAUGACACGUAUAAGAUUUUUCCCUAUGCUUUUUUACUUCACUUAUUAUUUUUGUUAACAUUUAUCGUGUCUAAUAACUUAUUUACCUCUUCUUUUAUCUGAAAUCUUGUCUUUAAUUGAUAACUUACGUGAUACUAACGAUUUAUCAGAUUGAGUGUUUUGUUGUAUUUCCAAGUUUCAUAAUCGACAUAUUAUUCUAAUCCUUUCGGAAAAUUGCGACUAGUUUCGUAACGGAGAUCUUUGAAUUUCAUUUCAUAGUAAUUUUGUUUUUUAUAUGGAUUUACACAUUGAUAAAGAUAAAGAAUUAUUUAAUAAAUAAUCGAACUUUAACGUUAAUGAAUUAAAAUGAAAAAAAAAUAAAACAGAAAAAUUUCUAUUCAAAUCGCAAGACUCACUUAUCACGUAUGUAAAUCAAUUGAUUAUAUUUAAAAAUUUAUUUCACGCGAAAGUGCUUCCCAAUAUUUAACUCGAACUGUUAAAAUAUAUCUCAUUUGAUACUCCUCUUUCCCAACAAAGAAGAUAUUAUCGAUCUCUACAGAUUGUUAUAAAAAUUUACAUUUUUUUAAAAUCAAUUCCCAAUAUUCAAAUAUCAUAAAUAAAAUACCGACGUACGAUUAAAAUUUGAAAUUUUUAAAAUUGCCUUGGUUCAAAGAUUUAUCAAGUAUUUAAAUUAAACGAGUUAAAUGUUUGUUUUCAAACAAAAAAAAAGAAAAUUGAAAAUUCCCCGAAUGACUUUCGAUUCGUACGAACACGUUCCUCGCAUCGAGAAACUUCCCGUUUCCAUUAUUUAUACUUUAAUGUUAUUCGUGGCGGGUGACUGUUCGCCGGAAGUAUCGUAACGACACGUCUCCCAUUCACAUACUCGGUAUAUUGUUUCAUGAGAACUGUGACGCGCGGAAAAGGGUCAUGUGAACGUGUCACGGGCAUCCACCGCGUAUACUUUGCGCCGCGAAUUCGAGCUCGUGGGAUGUUGACCGAAUAUACGGACGAAUGUCUGCAACGCGAAUCGAAUUGGACACUUGGCACGGGACUCUGGUGGGUAAUCGUACGCCCGUGCACGGACGCGUUCAACCUUCUGCAUAUUUUAAGGAUCGAAUUGAUCCGGGUUGAUCGAUUCCACGUUUCAAAACAAUUUCAUCGAAUGACGAUGAACGAGCCGAGAAACGAUUAGACGAUCGUUGUAACGUAAGCGGAAGGUAAUUCGAGGAUCUGCCUGCCAAUGCGCGGAAUGGAAUUGUAAAGGGUUCGAUGACAUUGCUUGCAUUCUUCUGCUUGCGAAAGAUGUAGGAAGGAGGAAGAUUUAUUUUACGUUUAUUCCGCGUUGCUUGAAUUAUCAGUGACUUUGGAAUUUCCUCGAGACUCGGGAUCGUUCGAUUGUUACGCGACAUAGCGUUUCGUAUUUCCUUUUCGUAAGAAAUUUGUAGGAUAAUAUACGCGAAGAUUUCGAAUAAAAUUGGAGGAUAACUCUAUCGCGACGAGUUAAUAUAUUCUCGACACGAAUUCGAUAAAACUUGGGAAAAAUUGUGCUCGUUCUCUGUUUUCAAAGGAACUGAUAGGUAAUAGGUAAUUUCUGGAGAAAUUCUAGCCGAACCUAAUAUCAAAAAGCUUCGAUUUUAAGAGGGCAGAAUCCGUUAACGAGCCCUCCUUCGUUCUCGGUACCGCAGUCAGCUCGGCUGUAUUUCACAGCUCGUUACCGCAAUAAAUUCUGCAUUCCGGCAGGAACGAGGGACAAAGUGGCGCGAACGGCGCCAUUUACCCUCGAAACGGCGGGAAAAACAAGGCGUACAGGCCGAUUUAUACGCCGGUAUAAAUGUUGCGUAUGCAAUCGGACAACAAGCGCCUAUUACCCACGAGGAAGAAUGUUUUAUCCAAGGAUCCUCGUUUCGCCAAGGAGCUUCGGUCACGGCGUAGUAUCCAUAAUAAUGCGUCGAAGAAUGUGUCGGUCGGAAAUGGCAAUUUAUAUUUCACCGUGCUUCAAGGAAAGUUUUUUCGAUCGCUCGCCAAGUUAACGACAAGAGUUGGGCCACUAAACGAGUGCCAUUGAUGACAACCGUUCAUUUAUAAAUUUGUUCUCAUCCUCUCUGGCUCUAAGCCUUCGCGCAACAUAGAUAAUUACAAAUUUUGAUUUGAAGAAAAUACACUUUGACGAAAUAUAGCGCGUAUCAGCGCGCUAAUGGUGAGACUGCAUAAAGGAGGCUUGCUCCUGCACUGGGAGAAGUGGACGCACGCCAAUCCCCACCACUGGUCAAUUGGACGUACGGUGCGACCCGUGCCUCCUUAUGCCGCGUUCACAACGCUGGUUGCCCCUGUAUGGUGCUUUUUCGCCCGGUUCGGUUCGUUUCCCUCGAUUGGCUUGCAAGGAUUUUUUGUUCCUUGGAAGAUCGAACUUCCAAAAAAUCUUUGUCCCUGAUAAAUUUCCCGACGGAAAGUAAUUGCAAAGUUUGCAAUAUUUUCUCGAAUUUUGCAAUUCGAAGGAAAAUUCAUAUUUCUGUGAUCGAACGCUCCAUAUCCCACAAGAGACAUUUCCGCUGAUUCCGCUGAUGGAAGCUCGUUUUCAACUUUCACACCUUGCUCCCGUGUGCUGGAAACGUGAUUCAGGGAACAAAAGUCUUGCCAGUCGCGUGAAUUAAACGCGGGACAGUGUCGUUUUACUGCAACGUUAUACGCGCUUAUGCCAGCCCCAUAUAUACGAUACGAAAAGUCGAUGCACCUUCGCGUUUACCUUCUUGCGCGCCGCGUCCAGGACAGUCUUAUUUUGCGCUGAUAUAACGGCGAUUAAAGCGUUUGCCUCCUUGAGUUUCUUCUCGGUGGAUACCAAUUAACCACGGCGGAGUACGCGAAGAAAACACGUAGGGAGAUCGCACGAUCUCCCACGGUCGGAACAAGGAGGGAAGUUUGUCGUGAAACCGGAAGACACUGCCGCGGCUUCGGAUAACCGGAGAAUCUCCGUGAACGAUAAACUUACACCGUUUUACUUAAACGUUUGCUCGACAUUAUUAUCUUUAAGUAUUUCUUGAACAACUUUCAAUGAUUCGUUGGUUAUUUUAAUCUAUUGGAUUUUUGAUGCUUUCAAUAAAAUCGAUGCGAAAAUUAGCAUUAUAUAAUCGAAUCUGAAAUCUAAGUAAAAUUUAAAUUAAUUUUUUAAAUUGUAAAUCUUAGCGCUUUUAGGUUUUAAGAAAGUUUUGGAUUACUGUCUGGCAAAAGUUGGCAAUGAUUAAACGUUAAUACUCAUAUUUAUAACAAUUGAACAUGAAGUACGAUCGCGCUAUUCCCCAUCCUACUGAAAUACCCUAACUCAGACAGCCGCAAUAAACCCGUCAAACCGGACUCAACCUUCCAAUAACCGAUCAAACAAACAUCCCUUUUCACCCACCUCUCGUCGUUACCUCCUAAAACGAUACAUUAAAUCCGUCUCGCCACUCAUAAAAGGGUAACGCAACAGGGUAUUAUUUUUAGCGGUGAAAAGAGGAUGAAAAACGGACGAGGGAGAGACAGGGAUCGGGGAGGACAGAGGAGGGGAUCGAGAACGAGAGUGUUUCUUUCAGGGCAAGCGGCGGCGUAAUCCAGAAAUCAGAUUAAAUGUCGGAUAUCCUGGACGGGGGACCGUCUCCCUUUCCCUGUGCAGUUUGCGAACAGCAGGAAGCUCCAGUCAUUACCUCGACUGGCGGGCCCCUCGCGCGCAUCCUCCGCGGACACACUCCGAUUCACACAUUCAAAGAAUCACAGUGUGAUGCGCACGCACACUCGUCCACCCGUGCAUCGGCCAUGCGGGCACGUGAAACGAUCGUAAACACGUGCAGAGAGCGCACAGUUGUUCCCGUGUUCAAUUCGACGUAUAUUCCAUCUUGGAUGAUACUGGAGAGAUUUCGUUUCGUUUCGUUUCGUUUCAUUUCGUUUCGUUGCACGUGACACAACGUUGGAACGACGUGUGAAUUUCAACGCGUAGUUGAAUUUAAUUAAAUUUAGAGGAGCCAGUUUUAGGUUAGGUUAGAAAAGAAAGGAAAUAGAAUCAUUGAUAUCGAAUAAAAUUUCUUCUGAAAAGUUAACUGCUUGCAUUCUAACAUCAUUAGUUCACGAAAUCGACGAUGUUUUCCCUAAUAGAGACACUGAGGAACGAGGAUUUCUUUGACCAGUGACUUCGUUUAACCACCGCUUAACGAAUUUCCGUCGUUUCCCAGCCGAAUCAUCAGUCAAACGAAUCGUUGCGGCAGGCUGCGCGUUAACCAACGACGAUUAGUCUCUUUCCCUAAUUCGAGGCUCUUUAUUUAGCACCGCCACCCAAAGCAACAGGAUGGAAAGGACAUCGCGUUAAUAUACCGGAUGGCGGGCAAUUAACUGGCAGCUUUGAAAACAGCGUCACGUCGCGCGUUAUUUUUCAUUGAACGCAUGUAUGCAUAUACGUAUAUGUAUAUAUAUAGGAAUUUUUUUAUAACGGUUCGUUGACGCACUCGCGCGAUAAUGAAGUUAACAAGCGUCACGCAAUGGCGACUUAAUCACUACCAUUUCUCCAAUAUCGCAGUUUUUUGCUAAACGUUUCACGUGACGAGCAUCAGUUACGAAACGUUGUUAUUAUUGAUGGGUGGAACGUGCGAGUGACAAUUGUGCAACGGGAGGCUUCACAGUGUGAUGUUUCAUAAAAGUGAAUUCGACGUUUCGCAAUUGAGAAAGAUUUUCUUUUUUCUCUUUUUUCGAUGUGAAACUAAAUUGGCGAUUCUAAACUAUUUUUUUCUUUAAAUUCGACAUUUUUAAAUUUCAUUCAUCAUCGAUUUUAUCCAUUAUUAAUUCCACUCUUUUCUUAAUAUUUAUUUCCUGUAAUAAAAAAGAAAUAUAUAUAUACACUAUCUUGACAGCAUUUCCAAUGCAAAAAUACAUAUUUCCUCGAUGUAGAAGAAAAAAGAGAAAAGUAGGAAAAAUAUCGACAUAAAAAAUCCAGACUUAUUACUCUGCUCUUCAAUGAAGAGUACGCCGGAAUGAAGAUCGAGGGAAUCGAUACGAUCGAUAGGCAAUUCCGCCGAGCGCGCACAUACGAGUACAAACGCGGAACAAUUCGCUGCUCGUUUGGUCGGGUAAUUUGGCCAGUUUUUGGCCGUUCCCAAUAAUCAUGGGCCGUGGCUCGUAUCGCAAAUAAAUCGGCGCUGUCAUGAAUAAACAGUCGGUGCCUUCUAGCAGAGGUUUUGUCACCGCGCCGCCGCGUUUCUCCCGCAAUUUCCUUUCCGCCGUUCAUUUGUCAAGGGAUCCCCCUUAAGCCCAACGAUUUCGACGCCGCUCCACGUACCAGGCGGCGAGACGGCGACACUCGGCUUUAAUUUUUCAAGCUUUGGCCGCUCCAUGAUCGCCGCUGUUUUUCUUCUGCCCCUUCUUGCUUCCCGUGUUUCCAGAGCCGCGUAAUUAUUCCGUGAAGGUGGCGGCGUGCAUCAUUUGUCAGGAUGAGGAUCCUUCCGAGGCAGGAUCCCUCCGAGAAAAUGGCCGCCAUAACCUCACGGAUGCACCGUCGAGAAAGGGAGAGCCGUGUCUUGAGCAGUGUCAUUGACAGUUGGAGUGAAAUCGAGCUGGUCUGCGUUAAUCUUUUGACGAGUGGUGUUGAGAUCCGGAAGAUCGUGAAUGGGUCGGGAUUUUGGAGGCCGGCUUCGGUGUAUUUUAUUCGUAAUGGUCUGGAAUAAUGGAUUAUUUUGGCUGCUUUACGAGAGGGGUUUACAGUGGGCGCGUACGAAUGCAUGUGUUAGGUAAAUGUUAGGAAAUAAAAAGAUACGAUGUUGAAUCAUAUUCAUAUC